rnacentral:rRNA from 1 species
CGGUAAUACGUAGGGUGCGAGCGUUAUCGGAAUUACUGGGCGUAAAGCGUGCGUAGGCGGUUCGUUAAGUGCGUUGUGAAAGCCCCGGGCUCAACCUGGGAAUGGCAAUGAAACUGGCGGGCUGGAGUAUGGCAGAGGGGGGUGGUAUUCCGCGUGUAGCAGUGAAAUGCGUAGAGAUGCGGAGGAACACCGAUGGCGAAGGCAGCCCCCUGGGCCAAUACUGACGCUCAGGCACGAAAGCGUGGGGAGCAAACAGGAUUAGAUACCCUGGUAGUCCACGCCCUAAAUGCUCAGUGUUGGGGAAGCGAUUCCUUGGUACCGUAGCUAACGCGUGAAGUGAGCCGCCUGGGGAGUACGGCCGCAAGGUUAAAACUCAAAGGAAUUGACGGGGACCCGCACAAGCGGUGGAUGAUGUGGAUUAAUUCGAUGCAACGCGAACAACCUUACCUACCCUCAUGUCUGGAAGGCUGCUGAAAGGUUGUGCCUGAAGGGAACCGGAACACAGGUGCUGCAUGGC